rnacentral:misc_RNA from 1 species
GCCAGUUGUUGUACAGUUGCAAUUCCAGCUAAUGUUUAUCUAAAUUUGGCAGAUCAUUUCUAUAUUGCUUUGUGAAACCCUAGAAAUCUGGGUGAUUGAAUAAAGAGAUCUAACAUGUCUGAGAAAAAGAAGAUGAGAAGUGAAGCAAGCAGCAGUAGCAGCAAUAGCAUCACUGCUGGAAACGAUUCUGUUGUUGUUGAGGUUGGUCGACGUAGAAACUCAUGUGGUUAUUGUAAAUCCGGUGGUCCUACUAGUAUCUCUCACGGUUUAUGGGCACGCAGUCUGACAGUUGAUGACUAUCAAGCUCUUCUAGAUAGAGGAUGGAGAAG